rnacentral:rRNA from 1 species
GACAAACCGUGCGAACGUUAUUCGGAAUCACUGGGCUUAAAGCGCGUGUAGGCGGACGGGCACGUCCGUUGCUGAAAUCCCCCGGCUCAACCGGGGAACGGGCGCGGAUACGACUCUUCUGGAGGGGCGUAGGGGGACCUGGAACUUCCGGUGGAGCGGUGAAAUGCGUUGAGAUCGGAAGGAACGCCCGUGGCGAAAGCGAGGUCCUGGACGCCUACUGACGCUGAGACGCGAAAGCCAGGGGAGCGAACGGG